rnacentral:rRNA from 1 species
UACGCAGGGUGCGAGCGAUAAUCGGAAUUACUGGGCGUAAAGCGUGCGCAGGCGGCUUUGCAAGACAGAUGUGAAAUCCCCGGGCUCAACCUGGGAACUGCAUUUGUGACUGCAAGGCUAGAGUACGGCAGAGGGGGAUGGAAUUCCGCGUGUAGCAGUGAAAUGCGUAGAUAUGCGGAGGAACACCAAUGGCGAAGGCAAUCCCCUGGGCCUGUACUGACGCUCAUGCACGAAAGCGUGGGGAGCAAACAGG